GAUGAAGAACGUAGCGAAAUGCGAUACGUAAUGUGAAUUGCAGAUUUUAGUGAAUCAUCGAAUCUUUGAACGCACAUUGCGCCCGCCAGUAUUCUGGCGGGCAUGCCUGUCCGAGCGUCAUUUUAACCAUCAAGCCUUCGCUUGUGUUGGGGCCCCGCGGCUGCCGCGGCCCCCUAAAUCCAGUGGCGGGCUCGUCGUCGUACCGAGCGCAGUAGACAUCCUCGCUCCGGGAACCCGACGGGUGCCGGCCGUGAAACCCCCCCCAUCAAGGUUGACCUCGGAUCAGGUAGGAAUACCCGCUGAACUAAAGCAUAUCAAUAAGCGGAGGA
rnacentral:misc_RNA from 1 species